AUGCUAACCAAGCUAGAAGAGGAAAGAUGUGAAGAUUGGUCACCUGUGCAAAGGAAACGACAAGGUUUCAUCUCCCCUGGCUGCUGGCCUCACCCCGAUUUCUGGGCAUUGGGAUCUGGUAACCGUGAGUUCCUGCUGCUCCUGCUCCUGCAGCCGUCUGUGUCACGCCUGGCAGCCAUCUUAGGCUGGGCAGAAAGCCCACCAGGGCUAGCACAGCAAAUCGGCUGGUUCCCAUAUCGAUUUUGCUAA
rnacentral:lncRNA from 1 species